AUACCAAGUGUCGGAUUCUCGGUGUUCAGACAAACCGGGGUCCCGUGCCGAGGCCUGCCAUUGCACUGCGGCAGGAGAAGUACGCCACCUAUCCCAAACUGGGAUAGGUGGGGCAUGUAAUUUUUGGUAGUGGGGCUGGGCGUUCGCGCCAGCCCUU
rnacentral:snRNA from 1 species